UUUUGAAGCUAUAGGAUCUAACAACCUCAAGAAAAAGAAUCAACUGAAACAGUAGAUUCAUAUCUAUUCAUUUGAUUUACUAUUGUAUCGUAAGAUUCGAUCACAAUUCAGGUACAUUUGUGAUUCACCUCAUAGAUUUGAAUCUCUAGGAUGAGGAAUCGAAUCAAAUCGUACGAUUUGAAUAGAAAAUCAUACAAUUCUAAUAACAAUGUGGUAAAACAAUAAUUAAUUUUCUACUACAAGCAAGUAAUGAAUUUUAGCAUGCACUAUUAUAGUGGCAAAACUGUAGCUAAUAAUUAGAUGAGUGAUUUUGUAUAAAGAUGCAUUUCUGAUGCGGGAUGAAGUGUUUUUUAG
rnacentral:misc_RNA from 1 species